rnacentral:tRNA from 2 species
AGCUCAGCUGGGAGAGCACCUCCCUUACAAGGAGGGGGGCGGCGGUUCGAUCCCGUCA